rnacentral:lncRNA from 1 species
UUAUUUAGAUAAUCCUAUCACAAUUAAUAAAAUGAAUGUCACAUUUUACUUAAACUUAGGUGCUAGUUCAAAUAAGAAGACUGUGCAUAAUAUGUGUGUGUUAGAUUAGGUACUACUUUACCUUCUAGCAUGAGAUGGUUUAAUUUCGAAAAUCCUUUCUUAAUUUUAAUAAAAAAAUAUAGGUUUAAUAUUUCUAUUGGUCUUCUUAUUUGUCAACUAAUCUCAUUUUGGUCAUUAAGUUUGCAACAGUCUCAAUUUAGUCAAAUAUUUGAAAAUAUGAACACAUUGUAUCUCAUCCGUUAAGUGGUAGCAGACGACGUUAAUUUGAGCCGACCUGUAUUUUUUUUUAUGUUUUAAAAUUAUUAAAUCCACGUGGUGGUGUUCCUUCUUCUGCCCUCAAUCAGUGAUCACUCACUCCUCCGACCAUGCCUCCUUUCCACUUCCACCCUCAAACCCUCACUCCAGACACACAUUUUCUCUCGACCGUCCUCUUCGAUCCAAUGCGUCACUCCGUCCUCGUCUCCGCUCUCAUGUUCGGCGUCGCCGCCAUUUGCCUCAACGGUCCUCCGCUCUCAGACAACCAGAUUCCGCUCCUUCCUCGGCGGCCCCGCCGCUGUCGCCACUACUGUUCUAGUCGUGUCUGCGCAAGUUUGAGUGAGGAAUCCUUAGAUCUAAAACCCGAUUUAUUGAUUUUUGGUGCCUCAAAGCGCCAAGAAUGUGGAAAUGUAGUGUCUCUCUUACCUGAAUCCUCAUAUCUGAUACCCUCUCCA